rnacentral:rRNA from 2 species
CAGCCGCCGCGGUAACACCAGCCCCUCGAGUGGUGGGGAUGAUUAUUGGGCCUAAAGCGUCCGUAGCCAGCCGGAAAAGUUUCCCGUUAAAUCCGACGUCUCAAGCGUUGGACUGCGGGAAAUACUGUCCGGCUAGAGAGUGGGAGAGGUUAGCGGUAUUCUGGGGGUAGGGGCGAAAUCCUUUGUUCCCCGGAGGACCACCAGUGGCGAAGGCUGCUGACUAGAACACGUCUGACGGUCAGGGACGAAAGCUGGGGUAGCGAACCGGAUUAGAUACCCGGGUAGUCCCAGCCGUAAACGAUGCAUGCUAGGUGUUGGGUUGGCCACGAGCCACCCCAGUGCCGCAGGGAAGCCGUUAAGCAUGCCGCCUGGGAAGUACGAUCGCAAGGUUGAAACUUAAAGGAAUUGGCGGGGGGGCAC